GGCGGUACUGGUCAGUUUGGUUACAGUACAGUGUUACAGUGUUCUAGAAGUUACAGCUUGGUGUUGUGGUGUUGUCUAUAAGUGUUCUGUGGUGUUGUCAACGCCCGUGGGUGUUGUGUAAAUGGGUGCGCGUUAUCGCGCGACGCCGGCACGGCCCAUCGCUUUGCUCGCGCAUAUUGCGAACGUGGGAUCUUCGAAGUCUGUGGCAGACGGGGGCGGCGAAGAAUGUGAACCAUCGAUCGUGGACUCAGCCCAACGGUACGAUGCGUGGUGCCAAAGGUCUUGUCCUGAAAAGUACAAUGGUGCAAGGGUACCCAAAUUUCUACAAGUGUUCUACAACGAUGCAGUGAGACCCCAAGAAAAGGUUUUCGCUUGGCACUGGAUACACCUGCAUGGGUACAUACCACCCUUGGCCUACCGUGAUCAGGAUCUUAAGUGCUUGGAUAUAUAACUGGAGCAAGACAAGUGGCGGCGGAAGAUGUACAGUCACUCUCAAUAUGACGCAUCACGGGAGCGCGUGGUAUCAUGAGUUCAAAGACUGGCCAUGGCUUCCACUAGCCCUUAUUUCCAUAACUAAAUGCUGUUCUCGCACUCGGGGAUGAUUCCAAAUAAGAAAAUAUCAUUUAGUUGCUGAAAUGAAAACACGUUGAACCCAUGCGCAAUCUUUGAACUCAUGAGGCCACACGCUCCCGUAUUGCAAGUCAUACUGAGUGGAAAAAGUUUCUGCUAAAAGAUUCUAUAUAAAAGUGGAAAAGUGAUUCUGCUACUCCAUGUAAUCCUGCAGUCUGCUAAGCAGGGCAAGCUCUAGAAGUAUGCCCACAAACAAUGCUGUCGAUAUGGUUGCGGUUUGCCUAGUCUAGGAAUGGCUACAAUUUAUGCCUAUUGAUGCCCAUUUCCACUGGGCAGCAAGUUUGCCAGUUUCCCAGCAUUACAUCAUGAAUGUAGUGAUCACCUGGUUUUUAUGAACUGCUUGAAGUGUCAUGUGAAGACCAAGAAGGGCUCCAACUACAAUAAAAUCAU
rnacentral:lncRNA from 1 species